ensembl:ncRNA lncRNA:CR44564 long non-coding RNA:CR44564
AGUCGGCGGUAAGCUAUAUUCGCGGAUAUGUGCACACAGGUGCCCGACUUUAAUUGCCCUUUCAUGAUUCUCACUAUUGACCAGCCAGUUGGUGACCUGGCCAUUGGCUCGGCCAGCGACAUGCUCCCACAUGCUCGCCACUUUGCACUUCCGAAAGUGACAAAAUUAAUGGUUUCCGCCGACGCUGUCGACAUUUUGUCGAGUGAGAGACAUUGAGAAAAUGCUCCAAAGUAGUGCAAAAUGAAGGAGUCGCAAACGGAGACCCCUAAAGCAGGCGCCAGGACGAGCAGGACCUGGGCCCUCUCGACCAGUCACAUUACCAUUUCUCUUGGCCAUGCUCAUUUCUGGGCUCUGGCUUGACGUUGAAUCGGUUGGCUGGUUAUUUUAAUGCCGCCCAUACUCCCGGAUGCCCGGAUGGCUGGAUGGCUGGCACCUCGGCCGCGGAGUCGGGAGACGCGAUGCCUAAGAUGGGAAUUGGAGUUGGAACUUGGAGCGUGGAACGUUAGUAUCUCCUUGUGCCGAGCCAUUUUCUUGUCACAAUAUUUGGACCCUCGCCUGCUUGAGUAAAAUUCCUUUAAAGAAACGCAUGUGCGCGUCUUCAUAUCCAAUUAGAAAAGUUUUCCUUCGACUGCUUCGUAAUUGUGUUGAUUAGUGCGGCUCGCUGGGUUGCUCCCGAGUGGGUGGUGGCUGGGUUUCGGGCGGAUUCUCCUCCUAAUACCCUGCUGUUGACAAAAGAAGCCUUCUUUGAUGGGUGGUGGCUGGGCGGAUUGUGUGUUCCCAGCUGAUGGCACUUUAAAAAUAAAUGCGCAUUAAAUUCGAUUGGCAAUCGUCUCACACUCUCGUUGAAUGGGCUUUUUCUUUACGGCUUACACAAAUUUUCAUCUAAUAUUGCUUUGAAGCAGCUUAACUAUCCUUGAGACGAGGACGUCUUUGGGGCGUGGCACGGGCAAAGAGG